rnacentral:lncRNA from 1 species
AAACAAUAACAUUUUCUAAAAAUGGCGAACAUUUUUUGGAAAUGUCGGAUGUUUUUCUGAAAUCCCGAACAUAUUUUAAAGCUAGGAAUGUUUUUGAAAAAGGCAAAUAUUUGAAAGUUAGACCAUUUUUAUAAAAUCAAGAACAUUUUCUGAAUUUCAUUUUUUGUUUAAAAAAUAACAAUAGAAAAAAAGAAAAAACAAAGAAACAGUAGCAGAAAAACGAAAAAA